rnacentral:rRNA from 1 species
GACGAACCGUGCGAACGUUAUUCGGAAUCACUGGGCUUAAAGCGCGUGUAGGCGGGACGGCACGUCGGUCGCUGAAAUCCCCCGGCUUAACCGGGGAACUGGCGUCGAUACGACCGCCCUGGAGGGGCGUAGGGGGACCUGGAACUUCCGGUGGAGCGGUGAAAUGCGUUGAGAUCGGAAGGAACACCUGUGGCGAAAGCGGCGCACUGGACCAAAACUGACGCUGAGGCGCGAAAGCUAGGGGAGCAAACAGG